GACGGAGGGUGCUAGCGUUGUUCGGAUUUACUGGGCGUAAAGGGCGCGUAGGCGGCCUGAUCAGUCGGGGGUGAAAGCCCGGAGCUCAACCCCGGAACGGCACCCGAGACGGUCAGGCUUGAGACCGGGAGAGGAGGGUGGAAUAGCCAGUGUAGAGGUGAAAUUCGUAGAUAUUGGCUGGAACACCGGUGGCGAAAGCUGCUCUCUGGACCGGUUCUGACGCUGAGGCGCGAAAGCGUGGGGAGCAAACAGG
rnacentral:rRNA from 1 species